rnacentral:tRNA from 2 species
AAAAAGUUAGCUCAGAGGAAGAGCAUCUGGUUGACACCCAGAAGGUCACGGGUUCAAGUCCUGUACUUUUUA